rnacentral:rRNA from 1 species
UACGUAGGGCGCAAGCGUUGUCCGGAAUCACUGGGCGUAAAGGGUGCGUAGGCGGGUCUUUAAGUCAGGGGUGAAAUCCUGGAGCUCAACUCCAGAACUGCCUUUGAUACUGAGGAUCUUGAGUUCGGGAGAGGUGAGUGGAACUGCGAGUGUAGAGGUGAAAUUCGUAGAUAUUCGCAAGAACACCAGUGGCGAAGGCGGCUCACUGGCCCGAUACUGACGCUGAGGCGCGAAAGCGUGGGGAGCAAACAGG